UGUCGCAUAUGGGGGCUCAAAUUACUUCAGUGGCAAACGGAGCAUCAGUUUAUUUCGCUUUUCGUCAGAGAAGACGUAUCCGACGAAGAGAGCAGCAUGGGUACGAGCCGUGAGGCGAGCGAACCCUAAUGGCUCGGCACGCCAACCGAGCGACUACUCCAGAAUUUGCUGAGCUCGUUUUAUCACAGAGGACAGCGUCACAUCCGCAAACAUCGAGGAUGCACCACAGUUGGAGGCUCUGUCAACUGGAACAGAACUGAGAAAUGUACCGGCGACCUCAUGUUCAGCAACAGAAUGUCAUUGUCAAGUUCACUCGAUACAUUAAAAAAAUUGCAUGUGCAAUCCG